rnacentral:lncRNA from 1 species
AGAUAUGCUCUCCAAAGGUGAGAGGUCCAGACCUGCCAGUGUGGAUCUGCUAUACGAAGUGAUGCCAAGAUCCAGCUCCCUCCAAUAUCCUUGCUCCUGCCACCUCCUCAACUCCUCAUACACAGGAGUAUGAAGCCAGCCCAAAAUGUCAUGAAGAUUUAUGGACGAAAGUAGAGAGGACUAAUGAACUCAGAUACUCCUUCUGUCCAAACUGACUACAUGCAAGUUCAUCUCCCAAAAGUGUAGAGUGAGGCUAUUGGCCUCACAAGACAUAUAGUAAGUAUGUGGUUGAUACCUCAGGCUCAAAAUUACAAUUCUGGUUCUGCUGUUCACUGACUUUGUGAUCUUGCAUAGGUCGUUUAAACCCUCAGAGCUCUGGUUCUUUAUCUGCAAUGACAAAAUAACAAUUGUCACUAAUGUUGUUAUAAAGGUCAACUGAUAUACUGUAUAAUCCCCAGCACACAGCACUCUCCAAACAUAAGCUAGAAUAAAUGGUUUAAGGCCACAAAAAAAAAAAUAUGUUGAGAGAGCAGAGUGAGGGUGGGAUGAAAGUUAAGUGCAAUGGAUAGAACUUUGAGGCUCUGUUUCCUAAAUAUGAAGAUGGCCAGACU